GACAUAGGGUGCAAACGUUGUUCGGAAUUACUGGGCGUAAAGCGAGUGUAGGCGGUUCGGUAAGUCGGAUGUGAAAGCCCCGGGCUCAACCCGGGAAGUGCACUCGAUACUGCCGAGCUAGAGUAUCGGAGAGGUUGGUGGAAUUCUCGGUGUAGAGGUGAAAUUCGUAGAUAUCGAGAGGAACACCGGUGGCGAAGGCGGCCAACUGGACGAAUACUGACGCUGAGACUCGAAAGCGUGGGGAGCAAACAGG
rnacentral:rRNA from 1 species